AGCAGCGGCGAUAGCACGUUCAUUUGUACCAGUUCCCAACAGAGAACUAGAGUUAAGUAACUCCGCGUGGGGUUAGAAUACGGAUGGGUGACUAUCUGGGCAAUCCUGUACUGCUGGCU
rfam:Asian citrus Psyllid, Diaphorina citri - Florida Strain, whole genome shotgun sequence.